rnacentral:rRNA from 1 species
GACGAACGCUGGCGGCGUGCCUAAUACAUGCAAGUCGAGCGGACUGAAUGGGAGCUUGCUCUUGUUCGGUCAGCGGCGGACGGGUGAGUAACACGUGGGCAACCUGCCCGCAAGACCGGGAUAACUCCGGGAAACCGGAGCUAAUACCGGAUAACACCGAAGACCGCAUGGUCUUUGGUUGAAAGGCGGCGCAAGCUGCCACUUGCGGAUGGGCCCGCGGCGCAUUAGCUAGUUGGUGAGGUAACGGCUCACCAAGGCGACGAUGCGUAGCCGGCCUGAGAGGGUGACCGGCCACACUGGGACUGAGACACGGCCCAGACUGCUACGGGAGGCAGCAGUAGGGAAUCUUCCGCAAUGGGCGAAAGCCUGACGGAGCGACGCCGCGUGAGCGAAGAAGGCCUUCGGGUCGUAAAGCUCUGUUGUGAGGGACGAAGGAGCGCCGUUUGAAGAAGGCGGCGCGGUGACGGUACCUCACGAGGAAGCCCCGGCUAACUACGUG